rnacentral:rRNA from 1 species
UACGUAGGGUGCGAGCGUUGUCCGGAAUUAUUGGGCGUAAAGAGCUCGUAGGCGGUCUGUCGCGUCGGUCGUGAAAACUUGGGGCUUAACCCUGAGCUUGCGGUCGAUACGGGCAUGACUGGAGUCCGGUAGGGGACCACGGAAUUCCUGGUGUAGCGGUGAAAUGCGCAGAUAUCAGGAGGAACACCGGUGGCGAAGGCGGCAUCCUGGACCAAUUCUGACGCUGAGGAGCGAAAGCCAGGGGAGCAAACGGG